rnacentral:rRNA from 1 species
GACGAACGCUGGCGGCGUGGAUUAGGCAUGCAAGUCGAACGGUAUCAUCCUUUCGGGGGUGAGAGAGUGGCGAACUGGUGAGUAACACGUAGGUUAUCUACCCUCAGGACGGGGACAACCCAGGGAAACUUGGGCUAAUACCGGAUGUGAGCAACUUUUAGUUGUUUGAAAGGUGGCGUAAGCUGUCGCUUGGGGAUGAGCCUGCGUCCUAUUAGUUAGUUGGUGAGGUAACGGCUCACCUAGGCAAUGAUAGGUAGGCGGCCUUAACGGGUGGUCGCCCACACUGGGAUUGAGAUACGGCCCAGACUCCUACGGGAGGCAGCAGUCGAGAAUAGUCUACAAUGGUCGGAAGACUGAUAGUGCGACGCCGCGUGAACGAUGAAUCCCUUCGGGGUGUAAAGUUCUUUUAUAUGUGAGCAGUGCUUCUUAUAUUAACAGUAUGGGGAGAGAGAUAUUAGCAUAUGAAUAAGCAACGGCUAACUCCGUGCCAGCAGCCGCGGUAAAACGU